GACGGAGGGUGCUAGCGUUGUUCGGAAUGACUGGGCGUAAAGGGCGCGUAGGCGGCCUAGUAAGUCGGGUGUGAAAGCCCGGGGCUCAACCCCGGAACGGCACCCGAUACUGCGGGGCUUGAGACCGGGAGAGGAGGGUGGAAUAUCCAGUGUAGAGGUGAAAUUCGUAGAUAUUGGAUGGAACACCAGUGGCGAAAGCGGCUCUCUGGCCCGGAUCUGACGCUGAGGCGCGAAAGCGUGGGGAGCAAACAGG
rnacentral:rRNA from 1 species